CUGACUAUAAAAAGAGCAGGAUCGCAUAUUUUGCAGUCCCUAUAUUUGUAAGCAGUUAGUAAGAAUAUAAGAUUGCAUUUGAGUUUAUUAUAAAAUACCACAAUGAAGUUUGUAGUCUCAGUAAUAUGUUUGGUGUACUUCAGUGUAAUGGUGAACUCUAAAUUAGACAAAAAAGAUUUUUGACCACAUUUGUUUGAUGUGAUGGAUGAAUCUCAUAACAGGUGCCAAAGAAUUACUGCAGCAAGUGACGCUCAUAUCGACGAAAUGAAAAAUGGUCGCUUUCCUGAAGAUAUCUCUAUAUAGCAUUACAUAUGGUUCUAAAAUGAUUUUGAAGGAAAGCGGUUAACAGUUUAAUAGCAAUGGGCAAUUUAAAAUUACUAAUAAAGAAAUUAUGAAAA